GAAUCUCCUCCCUACACCUUUCUUUCCAAAUCAAACACCCUCAGGACUUGCAGACUUUGCCGGGGUCGAUAAAUGCCAGAUCAUUUUACUGCACUGUAAGCCAGCAGACUUGGGGACAGAGAAGGAUCCCACAGGACUGGGAAAUAGUGCCUUUUGCUUAAGCCCAAGGAUUCCUUUCAUUUGCCUCCCAUGAAGACAGAUGUUGUUCCAGCUUCCACUGCCAUCUCAGUGGGUAAGACAUGAGCUUCCCUGGUGAAUAAAAACAAGUUGGAAAAUUUUUAA